UUAAUUAUUUCUUUUCUCCUAUUGAUUUGGCUUUGGUUUGCUCUUAUAAAACUACCUUUUAACACUAUUUUUAUUAAAAAAAAAAAAAGAAUACUUGAAAUUAUUGUGUGACAAGUAUCUUGGCUAGCUCUCCCCACUACCACCAUUAAAUGAAAAUAAAAAGAAUAAACCUGUGAUACAUAGUAAAAUUUAAAGCACUAUUCUAUUUUCUGCAGGUUGAUAUUCUCAAUAAUUGUACUCAGCAGAAGCAGGAACAACCUAAUCAUACUUUCACUUUUGCCCUCAUAAUUAUCUUAACUGAAUUGAAAUCUGGUGUGUUUAUAGUCCCAGCACCAUCAUUAAGCUAAAAAUUGAGCAUUCUGUCUUACCCUGAAAAAAUUCCAAUUAAGCCCAUUUGGAGAUCUGCACCGAAUGCCAGCACUAAUUCCUUUCUAUAAAGAUCAAGAGUGCCAGGAUGUCACACUACAGAGAGGUCCAUAGUCAGCUCAUUAGCAAGAUUGAUGAACUCGAAUAGUAGUUCCUACUGAUGUGAGCAUCUCAAUAUGAACUAAAGUCACAUCCUAGGAGACUGCAUGAUAACUCAGGGAGGUCAUCUCUCAUUAAAACCACGUUUAUGUGGACACUUCAAAAUGGAAUGAUCGAAAAAACUGAACUUUGGAAUGACACCAAAUCUUAAGAAACAGACAAAUGUAUUUAAGCACUCUUAGGGAGAUGAAUGAGUUCAAAUUAGAUGUUGAAUGUAAACAAAAUUGUAAUACGAGAAGAUAUUUCCAGAAGAUUUUGUUAAAUUCUUAAUGAAAUUGAUUUCUUCACAACAGAAUGAAACCUAUUUUAAAAAUCAGGUGCUAGAAUUUUUGUGUGAUUGUCUUAAGAGCUAAGGAAAAUCCUACUCUCAUUUAUGAAAAUACCUUAAUAAGCUAUUUGGAGUGAGAUGUGACACCAUGAAAGUAUAUAAGGAAUAAUAUUUGAAAUUAUUGUUUGUGAAAUGUGAAAAUGAAAUUGUUGAAUAACUCUGUUCCAGAAAUUGCUAACAAGGAUACCUGAUGCUGAGCUUUGACUGGCUUUAAUCCAGAUUCUUUGUUCUGGCACUGAUCUUUUGAAGUAGGAAAAUGCACUGAUCCUCAAAGAAAAGAACUACUGAUAAGAUGCCUACUACGAAGGACUCAAGUACACUAUGCCUCCAGGUCUGCUGCUCUUAAGGCUUCAAGAUGACUGACAGGGCCACCCAGAGGGCCAAGAAGGCUACAGUCCUGCCAACCUGGAUCCCUGCAGGAUGGAAAAAGAUAUACUAUACCAAGGCAAGAAUUUUUAUCUAAGACUUUAAUCUAGUCUCCUUCUUGCUGUGGAUAAUUGUGGAAAGGCAUGUUCCACCCUCCAGAUGGACCAGCAGAGAGCAAAGGGGCAGAACAGAAGUGACGCCCAGCAGAGGACUACGUGCCCUGAAGCAGCUAUGGCACAGAUUUCACUGGAAGGAAAGAAAUGGGUAGAGUCCUGUGUUCAAAGAAGAGCAGCUUUGGCAGCAUGGAGAAGUGGAGGCCUUGGAGAAACUUUGGCAUGGGUCUUAUGGAAUGGGACAGUGGCAAGGACGUUACUCCUUCAGCCAGCACUGAGGAUAGUAGGUGACAUCUGUGGGUAUCUUGGAAAGAAAAGAAAGACCUCUGACUCUAGCUAUGGUGAUGACACCAGAAAGACUGAUCUGUGAAUGCACAGGUUCACACUGUACGUCUCUUAGCAUAUUUCACAAGGGUAGGGAAUGUCCAAAAAUCAAGCUGCCUUUGAUCUUGGAAUUAUUGUAAUGUGGAUAUUGAAUACCAUAGCUGCAUUUCCAGGAACAAGCUUGAGCCCUCGUCCUAAACUCCAUUUUUAUUAGGCUCUGAAACAAAUCAGUCUCUGUUUAGAUCUCUGUACUACUCUGAAACAUUGGGAGGGACAGGACCUUAGAUGUCUUAACACCCUUCCAAGACAUUGUUAGGUGAGUCUUGCAUGAUCAAUCUCCCUAGCAUUCUGCAGGUGGCAAGCACUUCCAUGUAUUCCUCCUGUGGCUACAUUCCUAAGAUGUUUUCAUUGCAUUAACUUCUUCUUGCUCAUAUCUUUAUUUUUAAGCUCAAAAAAUAAGGGGAAAAAUGAGACUGUCAAUAUCUGUACUUACAGAAAGAAAGAUGGUACAGUAAUUAGGUUUACUGUUUUUAUUGUUUCUGUUCUUGUUCAACAUUUAGAGAAGAGUCUUGCCAACAAUUAUUUUUAAGAAAUUUUCACAAUGGAUUUCAUACAUUUCUAUUUAUUGGGAGCAAAAAGUAAUCUCAACUAUUAUCAAAAGAUACAGAUACUUUGUAGAUGGACCCAAAGAACUAUAAAAACAAUAAAGUAGCUUGUUUAUAAAUAAUGUAGUUUUAAAACUGUUGAAUGAAUAGAAUAUUGAUCAAUAUAUUGGGUCCAUGAUAAUCUGUGAAAGUCUGUAUUUAAUAAUCUAGAAUUGUUUCUUUCCCUACCACAACAAACACACAUUCCUUUGAAAAUACCCGAGUAAAGAUUCUACACAUACUUUCUAAAUUGUAUCCCCAGAAACCUGGCAGAAGCAAACACUGAGAUCCAUGCAAGGCAAAAACCACAGGGAAAGAGUAGGGAAGACAAUAUUAAUGGUGCCCAGAUGAUUUUCAAUGUGCUGGUGCAGCAUAAGUUCCUAAAGGAGAUACCACAGACAUCCUAGAUACCCUUGAGAGACUCACCAGAACUGGGGUGAACCUUCCAUGUUUUCAGAAGGGAAUAAACUUUUUAUAAUAAAUUUUUAAAGACUUAUUUAUUUGAAAGGCAGAGUUACAGAGAGGCAGAAACAGAGAGAGAGAGAGAGAGAGAAGUCUUCCAUCCACUGGUUCACUCCCCACAUGACAGCAAUGGCUGGAGCUGCACCAAUUGGAAGCCAGGAACCAGGUGCUUCUCCUGGGUCUCCCACACAGGAGCAGGGCCUCAAGGACUUGAGCCAUCUUCUAUUGCUUUCCCAGGCCAUAGCAAGGAGCUGGAUUGGAAGAGGAGCAGCCUGGACUAGAACCAGCACCCAUAUGGGAUGCCGGCACUACAGGAAGCAGCUUUACCCACUACACCACAGAGCCAGCCCUAAUAAUAAAUUUUUGACCAAUGAAGUAAACUUGGGGUAACAUCUUUUGCUAAUCAUUUUACUCCUUAAUAAAGUAACACAUUUGAAAAACAGAUUAAGGUUUUAAGAUAGAUAUUAGAAAGCAGCCUCACCCAAACUUGGCUCUCCAGUUCUUUGCUGUGAAGACUGGUAAAGUUUCUGUUAAACCUUUGCUAUAAAAACUCUACAGUUUGGGGUAGAAUUCUGAACUGAGAAAUCUCAAUAAAAGCUAUAUGCAUUUAAUUGUUUUCUAAAAUUACAUUGUAGUCAAAGUUACUAUAAAAAGUCAAAAUGGGACAGGUAUUUAGCAGAGCAGUUAAGAUGCCAGUAAAAUUUCUCAUGUCUCAAAACAGAAGGUGUGAGUUUGAGUACAGGCUCCACCUUCAAUUCCAGAUUCCUGCUGUUGUGCACCCGGGGAAGCAGCUCUUCAGUAUGGCUCAAGUAUUUAUUCCACAUGGAAGACCAGGAUUGGAUUCCCCACCUCAGCUUUAGCCUGACUAAACCCUGGCUGUUGUGGGUAUUUGGGGAGUAAAUAGUGAA